UGGGGAAUAUUGCGCAAUGGGCGGAAGCCUGACGCAGCGACGCCGCGUGAGGGAUGACGGCCUUCGGGUUGUAAACCUCUUUCAGCAGGGACGAAGCUAACGUGACGGUACCUGCAGAAGAAGCGCCGGCUAACUACGUGCCAGCAGCCGCGGUAAUACGUAGGGCGCAAGCGUUGUCCGGAAUUAUUGGGCGUAAAGAGCUCGUAGGCGGUUUGUCGCGUCUGUCGUGAAAGCCCACGGCUUAACCGUGGGUCUGCGGUGGAUACGGGCAGACUAGAGGCAGGUAGGGGAGAAUGGAAUUCCCGGUGUAGCGGUGAAAUGCGCAGAUAUCGGGAGGAACACCGGUGGCGAAGGCGGUUCUCUGGGCCUGUACUGACGCUGAGGAGCGAAAGCGUGGGGAGCGAACA
rnacentral:rRNA from 1 species